AAAUAUAUUCUCCCCCUUAGUUGUGGAAUCCUCCGAGGAUAUGUGGUAUCAAAUAGGUCAAGGAACGUGUACAAUACUUCCUGUACCAAAAGAUAAUCUCCCCAUAGAGAACUAAACAACGCUAAAGCUGGGGUCGAAGAAAGAGUUCAGAAGAAGGGUUUACUUUGAUUGGGUUGGUCCCUAUGCUGAAAGAAUAGGUUCCAAACGGAAAAGUAAGGAAUAAAAACUGACAUUCCAGUAACAACAUCCACUUUGUCUUUAGGUAUAAAUUUGGUAAUUAGUGGGUGUCUCACUAAAAUGUUCUGCAGGUGUAUCACUCAACACUCAAUUUUCUCUCGGUUUUUGGGUAAGGGUGUCACUCACGAGUUCUGUAAGUGUAUCCCUCCACACAAAUACUGAGCUUCCAAAAUGCUGAAUACCUGCAAGAAAAUCACCUUAGCCACCCUUAAAGGGGGUCACCGGUGGUGCAAUGGGAGUUCGUAAUUCCCAGUCCCUGCAGACUCAUCAGAUAAAUCCGAAUCAUGGUCCACAAGUUGCCAACCACUAAGUGGCUUAUCCAAUUAAGGAUCCAGAGUUGUUUGCUCUAGGAGGUUAGACAAAGGCUUAAUUAUGGCAGAGGCCCAAGUCUUCCUCAAUGUCUGUGAAGACACUUGAUUCAAGAGAAUCAUCAACCAUAAGUUCACACCAUGAAAUGGAAUGAACCGUAGUUGCUUCCGUCAAUUCUUUC
rnacentral:lncRNA from 1 species